rnacentral:lncRNA from 1 species
GAUUGACAUUGGCAGCGGAGCGGCGGUUCUCAACCAAUUGCCCGAGCGGUUCGGAUUCUUCGAAGCAACGGCAUAAAGAAAUUUGGUUAGAGUUUCUAUACUUCUCUAAUUUGGUCUUAUCGGUUUUACGAAAAGCUUUUUCGGUAUUUUCUUGGAGUUUUCGUUGGAAUAAGAAAGGUGGGAUUCACCAUAAGGUUCUUGGUUUUUUAUCCGGAGAAAACAUAAGGUGUAAGCUUGUACUUCUAUUUCUUCAUAUAGUGGAAUACAUCUCUCUCGCUCUCCCCGCGGAUGUAAGCAAUUGCCGAACCACGUAAAUCUUGGUUUCUUCUUUCUGCAUUUUUUUCUUUUACCGUUCGGUCGAUUUUCUCUAUUUUUCGUGCAUCUUUGUUGGUAGCACAUGACGGACGAUUCAUCCGGUUCCCAACAUCUCCGAUCCUGUAACGCCGCAGUGACCUCCACGGUGUCGACGUCGGCGCCGGCGAAGAUAAAUCGUCGUCGGAGGCGGCAGAGAAUGAGGGAGAGGGAGAGAUAAGAAGGGCGGGGAAGGACGAGAGAGGCGUCGUUGUCGGAGACGGUGGAGAAGAGUCGGAGAAGAAAAGAAAAAAAAAA